ACCGAAAAAGGCAAAUCCGCCGCGAGACGGAGACGCAAAGCUACCGGGACCCACGAGGUCGGCCGAGUUACCGAAA
rfam:Deinococcus deserti VCD115 plasmid 1, complete sequence.